CGCUGGGGCGGGAUCCAAGUUCGGCAACCGCCCGGGGGACCCCACUUUCUCCCGCGUUUCUAGCAACCGAGAUAAGGCUCAGAAUGACACCGUCUUGGCACAGGAUCCCCAGAUGCUUUCCAGGGCCUCAUGCUUGCACAGGAGGGAGCUGAAUGGUUUUCAAAGAGAGUCCUGAAGAAAGUGGCGCCUUCAAGAAAACAAAUCACUGGAGUGCUGGCAGAUGAUUAAUGACCAACUUGAGAAUUAAAUCCGGGCUUAAAAGCCUUGAUUUCUAGUGUCGCAACUUCCAUGGUGGAAACCCCUCGGGCCUGUGGAGGACUUUGUCGUUUCGUGACCCCAAUCCCAGCUCUGACAUCCUAACAACCAGGGGUGAUCCAGAGGACUCCUCUCCACGACAGAGUCAAUGAACUCACAUGCAAAACUCCACUUUGCCCGACAGUAACACGGCUCGAGACCCUGUGCUCUCAUGAAGCAAACCAUCAGCUUCUAGGCUCAUCACAAUCGUUCCACAUAAAUGGCUGCUUUUUCUUUUCUUUGAGAAAGUCCUUUACUGCCGACAAUGGGCUGACCUUGCUUCUCUCGCAGUCACAGCCUCCGGGGUUGUGGGGAGAGCACGGGUGUGCAUCAUCGCGUUUCUCUAAGUGACGACAAUCACGCCAACCUGACUGGCAAGAAGAACGUGGGAAAGGCAGGGUCCCUGUGCUGAAUUGACGAUGCUCUAUGAUGGCCUCAUCAGUCCUGUGUGUUACUGCUCAUGCCUCUGUGGACUUUGAAGCCUGCAUGAGAGACAGCAUCCAUCACUUUUGCUCUGUUCGUUCUUGGGCUCUCUCAAUGGAGGUCAAGAUGAGCUGAGCAUGGGACUUUCUGAAUGACUCCCGGGACAGCACCAGCGCCAGAGUCUCAAUUUGCUUCUGGAAGGAUGACUCCACCCCCACCCCAGAAGGGAGAGCCUGCUGCUCAGUCAAGCCCGUCCAUGGCCACAGCACAGCCAUGCUGGAGCUUCUGGCUCAGAGAAUCUGCUAGAUGAUGUUGUUUUAAGAUGCUAAAUUUGGGGGGUAAUUUGUUACGCCACAUGAUAUAAUUAAUGCAAAACCUAAUCUGUAGGAGCGUUUUAACUUAAAAGGGAAGAAAAGAUGAAAAUGAAUAAAGAGAAAUAUGUGAAGCCAACCAGCAUGUGGAUAAUUAUGUCCUGAUUGUUACAGAGUUCUAAGAGGGGGUGGGGGAGGAGGCUGUACAGAGGGAAAACAAGAGGCUUAUUUACGAAGCUUUCCAGAGGUUAUUUUAGAAGGAAAAGGAGCCCGAAGAAAGGCAAGACCCUUCGUAGGGUACUCUCCUUUGAGCAGAAAUCAAA